GCCUACCCGGGCCUCGCCGGACCCGGGCCGGGCAGCAGGGGCCGGCCCGCGCCCCCCACGCUGGCCCAGAGGGCUGCGGCCGCCUCGCCGCUGAGGAUGUCCCGGAAAGGGCCGCGAGCGGAGGUGUGUGCGGACUGCAGCGCCCCGGGAGCAGGUGAAGGGAUAGCUACACCUAGGACUCCCCGCGCCUGCUUCCCACGGCUGGAGCCCCUCGCAGGGCCUGCUGGUGCCAGGGAACAGCCAAACUCCGCUUUUCCUGCUCUCCAGUGAGGCCUGCUUGGGCAGGCGGGCCUGGCACCGUCCUACCUGGGCACAGACCUCUCCCGGUCCCCUGGCCCAGUCUGGGCAGGAUCAGGUAGGGAACAGUGGCAAGGGGUGCUUAGACUCCCUGGAUCAGGCUGACUUCCUAGCCUGCCUCCCAGGAGUAUUUUACCCUGGCACGUCCCUUCCCAGCAGUCAGGCUUGGCCGC
rnacentral:lncRNA from 1 species